rnacentral:lncRNA from 1 species
GCCUAAGAGGGAGGUGUGAAGGCGCCCGGUCCUGAGCGCCUCCUGAAGGGUCCUCGUCUGGGGUCGGGACUCCGGUUCUGCUCCUUGCUACCUCUUACACUCUUCGCCCCUCACUUUCCUAAAAGCACCCAGGCUCCUCUCUUGGCAGCGACGGCGGUGACAGCAGCGGCGGCAAAAGUGGAGGCUGAGGCCGUGACACCUCGUGGGCUCGAGUCCAUGCCCAGCUGGAUGAACGGAAAGGCCGGGAGUGGGGAGUCAGGGGGUGCCCCCAGAGCUCAGAGGCGACCGACGGCGGCGGUUCCAGGUCAACUGGUGCUGGAAGCUUUGCUUUUUCUUAGUUGGCCCAGUUUGGGGGUGGGGUGGGAAAAGGGGGGGUAGGCGUGCGGGUGAGCGAUUCUUAGCUCUCUAAAAGCUGGGGACACCUUCGAUUAUCCGAGCUGCCCCGAAAAAGUCCUAGGCUCCCCGUCUGAGGGAGGAGAUAAAGCCCUUUCUUCUCCCGGGGAAGUGCAGCGGAGCGCGAUGGGGACCCGCUCAGUGGACUCGGCAGAGGCGGGAGCUGUCCUUAUCAAUUCUAGCUCAUUUCCCUCACCCCGGCCCUGCCCGCUUCCCCGCUUCGCAAACUGUUGGCUUCCCUCGCCGCCACCCCGUUUUGCUAAUU